UACGUAGGGUCCAAGCGUUAUCCGGAAUCACUGGGCGUAAAGCGUGCGUAGGUGGCGUGUUAAGUGUGAUGUUAAAUCGUGGGGCUCAACCCUAUCGAUGCAUCGCAUACUGGCAUGCUAGAGGGAAGCAGAGGCAAGUGGAAUUUGUAGUGUAGCAGUGAAAUGCGCAGAUAUUACAAGGAACACCAAUGGCGAAGGCAGCUUGCUGGGCUUCUUCUGACACUGAGGUACGAAAGCGUGGGGAGCGAACAGG
rnacentral:rRNA from 1 species